CAGGCUUAACACAUGCAAGUCGAGGGGCAUCAUGGUCUUUGCUUGCUAAGGCCGAGGGCGACCGGCGCACGGGUGAGUAACACGUAUCCAACCUGCCGUCUACUCUUGGACAGCCUUCUGAAAGGAAGAUUAAUACAAGAUGGCAUCGUGACUCCGCAUGUUCACAUGAUUAAAGGUAUUCCGGUAGACGAUGGGGAUGCUUUCCAUUAGAUAGAAGGCGGGGUAACGGCCCACCUAAUCUUCGAUGGAUAGGGGUUCUGAGAGGAACGUCCCCACAUUGAAACUGAGACCCUGCCCAUACUCCUACGGGAGGCAGCAAAGAGGAAUAUUGGUCAAUGGACGAUAGCCUGAACCAUCCGAGUACCGAGAAGGAUGACUGCCCUAUGGGUUGUAAACUUCUUUUAUAAAGGAAUAAAGUCGGGUAUGGAUACCCGUUUGCAUGUACUUUAUGAAUAAGGACCGGCUAACUCCGUGCCAACAACCGCGGUAAUACUGAGGAUCCGAGCGUUAUCCGGAUUUAUUGUAUUUAAAGGUAACGUAAAUGGAUAUUUAACUCAUCUGUGAAGGUUUGCAGCUCGUCCGUAUAAUUGCAUGUGAUACUGAAUAUCUUGACUGCAGUUGAGGCAAGCGGAAUUCAUGGUGUAGCGGUGAAAUGCUUAGAUAUCACCUAAAACUCCGAUUGCGAACGCAGCCUGCUAAGCUGCAGCUGACAUUGAGGAUCGAAAGUGUGGGUAUCAAACAGGAUUAGAUACCGUGGUAGUUCACUCGGUAAACGAUGAAUUCUCGCUGUAUGCGAUAUGCUGCAAGCGUACAAGAUAAAGCGUUAAGUAUUGCACGUGGGGAGUACGCUGGCAACGGUGAAAGUCAAAGGAAUCGACGGGGGGCGGCACAAGCGGAGGAACAUGUGGUUUAAUUAGAUGAUACGCGAGGAGCCUUAUUCGGGAUUAAAUAGCAGAUGAAUUGCGUUGAAAGCGGUAAGCCGCAAGGCAUCUGUGAAGGUGCUGCAUGGUGGUCGUCAGCUGGUACCGUGAGGUGUGGGCUUAAGUGACAUAACGAGCGCAACCAUUGUUGUCAGUUUAUAACAGGUUUUGAUGAGGUCUUUGACAAGAUGACCAUGGUAAGAUGUGAGGAAGGUGGGGAUGAUGUCAAAUCAGCUCGGCCGGUAUGUCCGGGGGUUCCCAUGUGUUGCAAUGGGGGGUACA
rnacentral:rRNA from 1 species